GGAUAAUCUGCCCACAGGUGAGGAAUAAUCCCGGGAAACUGGGGCUAAUGCCUCAUAGGAGACGGGUGCUGGAAUGCUCUGUCUCCCAAAGGUCCGCCGCCUGAGGAUGAGUCUGCGUCCGAUUAGGUUGUUGUUGGGGUAACGGCCCAACAAGCCUUUGAUCGGUACGGGUUGUGGGAGCAAGAGCCCGGAGAUGGAUUCUGAGACAUGAAUCCAGGCCCUACGGGGCGCAGCAGGCGCGAAAACUUUACAAUGCGAGCAAUCGUGAUAAGGAAACCCUGAGUGCCUGUCAAUGCAGGCUGUUCUGGUGUCUAACACACACCAGGAGAAAGGGCGGGGCAAGACCGGUGCCAGCCGCCGCGGUAAUACCGGCUGCUCGAGUGAUAGCCACUUUUACUGGGCUUAAAGCGUUCGUAGCUUGGUCGUUAAGUCUCUGGGGAAAUCUUUUGGCUCAACCAAAAGGCGUCUCAGGGAAGCUGACGAUCUUGGAACCGGGAGAGGUAAGACGUACUUCGGGGGUAGGAGUGAAAUCUUGUAAUCCCCGAGGGACGACCGAUGGCGAAGGCAUCUUACCAGAACGGCUUCGACAGUGAGGGACGAAAGCUGGGGGAGCAAACCGGAUUAGAUACCCGGGUAGUCCCAGCCGUAAACGAUGUGCGUUAGGUGUGUCAGUGACCACGGAUCGCUGAGGUGCCGAAGGGAAACCGUGAAACGCACCGCCUGGGAAGUACGGUCGCAAGGCUGAAACU
rnacentral:rRNA from 1 species